rnacentral:rRNA from 1 species
CCUGGCUCAGGAUGAACGCUAGCGGCAGGCCUAACACAUGCAAGUCGAGGGGUAACGAUGGAGCUUGCUCCAGGCGACGACCGGCGCACGGGUGAGUAACGCGUUUGCAACCUACCUCUAACUGGAAGAUAGCCCGAAGAAAUUCGGAUUAAUAUUCCAUAACACUAUGAUUUGGCAUCUUUUUAUAGUUAAAGUUUCGACGGUUAGAGAUGGGCAUGCGUGACAUUAGCUAGUUGGUGAGGUAACGGCUCACCAAGGCCACGAUGUCUAGGGGGUCUGAGAGGAUGGUCCCCCACACUGGUACUGAGACACGGACCAGACUCCUACGGGAGGCAGCAGUGAGGAAUAUUGGUCAAUGGGCGAAAGCCUGAACCAGCCAUGCCGCGUGAAGGAUGACGGCCCUACGGGUUGUAAACUUCUUUUGUUUGAGAAGAAACCUCCCUACGUGUAGGGGGCUGACGGUAUCGAACGAAUAAGCAUCGGCUAACUCCGUGCCAGCAGCCGCGGUAAUACGGAGGAUGCAAGCGUUAUCCGGAUUCAUUGGGUUUAAAGGGUACGCAGGCGGAAGACUAAGUCAGUGGUGAAAUCCUGCAGCUUAACUGUAGAACUGUCAUUGAUACUGGUUUUCUUGGAUUCAGUUGAGGUAGGCGGAAUGUGUAAUGUAGCGGUGAAAUGCUUAGAUAUUACACAGAACACCGAUUGCGAAGGCAGCUUACUAAACUGCGAUUGACGCUGAGGUACGAAAGCGUGGGUAGCAAACAGGAUUAGAUACCCUGGUAGUCCACGCCGUAAACUAUGAUCACUCGUUGUUGGCAACACAUCGUCAGCGACUGAGCGAAAGCAUUAAGUGAUCCACCUGG